GUGUCCUGACCUCAUCCCGGUUUUUCCCCUCACCGGAGCUGUGGUGGUGGGGUCUGGGGGUGGACACAAAUCAACUUACCUCUCGUGUUAGGAGGGCUGCCAACCAAAUAUAUUUGCAAACCCUUAAAGGCAAGAGAGGACACU